GUGCUCGCUUUGGCAGCACAUAGACUAAAAUUGGAAUGACAGAGAAAUUAGCAUGGCCCCUGCGCAAGAAUCUAACAUAUCACUUGUAUCAGAAAACUAGGGCUU